rnacentral:rRNA from 1 species
AAUGAACGCUGGCGGCAUGGAUUAGGCAUGCAAGUGGAACGGGCACUUCGGUGUCAGUCGCGAAAGGGUGAGUAACGCGUGAACAAUCUGCCCUCAAGUUCGGAAUAACUUCUGGAAACGGGAGCUAAUACCGGAUGUGGUUAUUUUAUGGCAUCAUGAAAUAACUAAAGGUUUACCGCUUGAGGAUGAGUUCGCGUCCCAUUAUGCUAGUUGGUGUGGUAACGGCACACCAAGGCUAAGACGGGUAGGUGGUCUGAGAGGAUGGUCACCCACACUGGAACUGAGAUACUGUCCAGACUCCUGCGGGAGGCUGCAGUCGAGAAUCUUCCGCAAUGCGCGAAAGCGUGACGGAGCAAUGCCGCGUGAUCGAUGACGGCCUUCGGGUGGUAAAGAUCUGUCAGGGGGGAAAAACAGUGAUGGUACCCCCAGAGGAAGCCACGGC